UCAGCAGCCGCGGUAAUACGGGAGUGGCAAGCGUUAUCCGGAAUUAUUGGGCGUAAAGCGUCCGCAGGCGGUCUUGAAAGUCUGUUGUUAAAGCGUGGAGCUCAACUCCAUUUCAGCAAUGGAAACUAGAAGACUAGAGUGUGGUAGGGGCAGAGGGAAUUCCCGGUGUAGCGGUGAAAUGCGUAGAUAUCGGGAAGAACACCAGUGGCGAAGGCGCUCUGCUGGGCCAUAACUGACGCUCAUGGACGAAAGCCAGGGGAGCGAAAGGGAUUAGAUACCCCUGUAGUCCUGGCCGUAAACGAUGAACACUAGGUGUCGGGGGAAUCGACCCCCUCGGUGUCGUAGCCAACGCGUUAAGUGUUCCGCCUGGGGAGUACGCACGCAAGUGUGAAACUCAAAGGAAUUGACGG
rnacentral:rRNA from 1 species